ACAAACAAGUUCUUUUAUUCUCUUUCUCCAGGAAAGUUUCAACGAUCUCUUCGUGGACACAAUGACGCCUCUACGUUUCGCUGUUGUCUUCGUCCUCCUCUUUGGUGUAUCUGUCGCCAGUGAAGCGGCACCUGAAGGACACGAGCUUGAACGUCGUCAACUUGACGUCCAGCUCUGCCUUUGUAUUGGGGGUGUCACUUGCCCUAAUGGGGGCCGUUGCACAAAGGCAAGCGGUUGCAGCAAAUGCUCCGCUCUCGGUGGAUGAACAACAUGGCUGACCGGCAACCCUUAACAACGAAACGAUCAAUUGCACGUAUAUGAAAUAAGAGACCCUGGUCUUUUCUUUUACUAACAUGGUCAUAGGUGGCGGGAACUUUUGAGGGCAAUAAAUUGUACUAAGCAGCA